UGGCAACACAAUUUCAAUAAUGAAUUUCGGCUUCGAUCUGUGCAGCGAGUUACAUCGCGGACAAUGCAUUCCUGAUAAGUUAUUACCUCUCGUCGUUUGGUCACGCAAGAUGAGACGGAAGAGCAGGUGUUGACCUGCAAUCAAGACUUGAAAGCGACGUUUGGAGGCCAAUGCAAGAGAGGCAUUUGGGAGCCAGUGCAAGAGAGGCGAUUCACCCCUCCAUCCUCCUGUUGCUCCUCUGACGCGACUUGCCCGCCAAGUUGUACUAGCUGUCAAGGCCCGUGGAACAAUGACGCGUUUGCAUGUUACUUCUUACCGAUGCGUUGUUUACUGUGCACGGACCCAAGCAGUUAAUUAUGAUAGGAUGGUGCGAUUGUGUGCUUUUCGUGACGUCACUGCGAUGACGGAUUUUCGUUUUGCUUUGAUCCCCAACAGAAUGCGGGCAAAAGUAGCCCACUUGGUUUGGGAACUACACUUGCCUCUGCAUUUGAACUGUUAACGCCCCUAAAUUGCUAGAGACGUCACUGGAAGAGCGGUAGUCCGCUUUAUUGCUGACUGCUGUUCGCUGUAUGUGAUACGUUUGCCUUUAUUUGGUGCUCUGAGUUUGCACUGUGACAUGUAAUUCUGGAACUUGUUAGUUCAGGCUCGCGUCAAUUGCUUGUUGGCUAGCAUCAUUUUCGUUAUUAAUCUACCUAUUUUGCAGGCUGAAAUUCUUGCCCAUGCCUCAUUAACAGUGGCAUUGAUUUCACAGUGCACUUCACACCUUGCUUGGGAGUAUUUUAAGUAUUCACAUAGUGUCUAUGAUACAAGUAUUUGUUGUUACACGUGAGUGCUGUUGAUGGCCAAUUCAGUGCUUUUACUUAAGUGCUUUUGCACCAUUGGAAUGCAUUGUUUUCUAGUAGUUAUAAAACAUUAAAACUUCAGGAAAACUUAAAUAUUUUAUUUGCUGGUGAAUACUAGGGUAAUGUAUUCAAAGAGCUAGUCUGAUCUUGAAUUAGUGUAGGUGAGAUAUGGCAAUGCCCUCAUUUAUGCUUUUUGGGGUGUCAUUUUGUAUGCAUGCAAGUGGUACUCCUAUGUGCACCGAUUGUUUCUUUGUAACAGAUUAUUCGGUAUGUGGCUCUCUAGGGCAUUGUACACAAGGCAGGGAUCCAUUACCACUGACUGUUUCCUGUGUGUGUUUUUGCUUCAAUUAUCCAGUUACCCUUCUCCCUUGUUUGCCUUGAAGCAAUUUUAUUCUUAUUAAAGGCUAAGCAUCGUACUGUUCAUUGCACUCUUGAAAGAUCGUGAGUGCUGUUUAGAAAUGUUGAAACUCUUGGUUGUGUUCAUAGGCAGUGUGCUUAAGUAUGUACUAAUGUCCAAAUAGAUAUGGCU